rnacentral:rRNA from 1 species
UUCGCAAUGCCCGAAAGGGUGACAAUGCGACGCCGCGUGUGGGAUGAAGGUCUUCGGAUUGUAAACCACUGUCAGUCGGGAGGAAUCUCUGGGAGCCGAAUAAGCUCGCAGAGUGACAGUACCGGCAGAGGAAGCCACGGCUAACUCCGUGCCAGCAGCCGCGGUAAUACGGAGGUGGCAGGCGUUACUCGGAUUGAUUGGGUGUAAAGGGUGCGUAGGUGGUGGGUUAAGUCGAAUGUGAAAUCCCUCGGCCUAACCGAGGAAUUGCGCCCGAAACUACCUUGCUUGAGGAUGGAAGGGGAGCGUGGAAUUCCUGGUGGAGCGGUGAAAUGCGUUGAUAUCAGGAGGAACACCGGCGGCGAAGGCGACGCUCUGGUCCAUUACUGACGCUGAGUGUGCGAAAGCCAGGGGAGCAAACGGGAUUAGAUACCCCGGUAGUCCUGGCCGUAAACGAUGGGCACUAAGUAGAGGGGUUUU